rnacentral:rRNA from 1 species
CCGCCUGGGGAGUACGGCCGCAAGGUUAAAACUCAAAUGAAUUGACGGGGGCCCGCACAAGCGGUGGAGCAUGUGGUUUAAUUCGAUGCAACGCGAAGAACCUUACCUGGUCUUGACAUCCAGAGAAUCCUGCAGAGAUGCGGGAGUGCCUUCGGGAACUCUGAGACAGGUGCUGCAUGGCUGUCGUCAGCUCGUGUUGUGAAAUGUUGGGUUAAGUCCCGCAACGAGCGCAACCCUUAUC